AUGGUUCAGUCCACACACCUGCACUCAGGUUCAAUCACAACCAGUCUAAUCACCCAGUUCUGUUUGCGUCCCAUUUACGUGACGUCGAGGCACCAUAAGAAACCAAAAAGAAAGUAAGGAGGAGAGGAAGAAGGAACAUAUUAACUGUAAACAGGAGAAGAGGCUCCUGAAAACCAGAAGUGUCCACCUGAAGACGUCACUCAGGUGAAGGUGUUCAGCUGGGUGGAUAUCUGGUGAACGUGAAGGCCAUACUGUACCAUGGGAUUCUGUGACUGAAAGUUUCCGGCAAUUGUAAACUAACUUAAGGAAUUGGAUCACAGCUCGACAUCAGAUUGGCUGCCUUCACUGAACCUCAGGCCUCUCACAGCAUCUGAACUGUGAAGCUCCCAAUUAGCAGCGUGUCCUCAUUUGAACUGUCUGCUAACCAGAGCCUGAUAUUAUUAGGAGUUGAUCCUCAGUUUGGCUGUUAGUGUGAUGAUAUGAACAAUAUAAGGAACAUUAUUCAUAGUGUUCAUAUAAAACCUAUAGAAUUUGGGGUUUAUGUGGACUACAACCGUCAGAUGGAUCAUCUCAACACUGCAAACCCCAAGGGACGUCAUAAACUGUGAAUGGAAAUGCAGAGUUUGAGGCAGUAUCCCAAUGGGGCUAUCCCACUUUCAUCCUCCAGUCUCCCACAUUCAAAUUUACAGUACAUCCAGGUCCUGAAACUUGCGAUUGAUAUUACAGGAGCAUAGUCUGACUUGUAUCAGCCACAAAGGGUUAAAAGGCCUUGUAGAGAAUAUAAAAAGUUCCUCGCUGAUGUUGAGACAAACCCCUUGUGAAAAGUCUACGGUUGAAAAGGAUGUGAUAGGACAUGAGUUUAAGUCCCCACGGACGUUCGCUCCCUCAGUGCUUCCUUCACACGGAGAUAAGAGGGGAGAAUAAGGGCAAAGACAGAGGGGCAAAAAGAACGGACUGAAGAGAUCCGACUUGACUCAAGUUUAUUGAAUUCACGCUUGGAGUCGUCCACCGAGCUGACGUUUGACCGCUAGGCCUCAUAUCUCAGACGGGAGAGGAGAAGAAGUUGUCGAGCCGAGCCGGCCUCGGCUAUUGAUUUCUGGGGAGAAUAUACGAGCGCUGCAGCCAAGAGUCGCUUCCAACAGAGAGGAAGAAAUAUGGAGCCAUUUUAGAGGCUCGUUGGCCAGAAUGUGGAUGAACGAUUUCAACCUUGUGAACAUUAGUUCUCAGGUUUAAAAAGAAUAUUUCGAUAAUGUAACAGUGCUGAAAAGAAAUAUCAGAGGAGAGACGUUUGAAAGAGGUUAUUAAAUGGUCAUAUUAAUGAUGGGUCCAAAAAUAUGUGAUCACUGUGUAACCUUUUGAAACUGCAACAACAUAGACUGUAUCUCCUCCUGUACACGUGUCUUGCAGACAUCUCAGCAGAUGCCAGUUAAUGGUUAAGUUAUUGUGAUUAUUUAUCAGCUGUACGAUGAACUUCUUGCACACAUACUGCAGGUAAUAUUGUCAUUAUGUGUUUAUGAUGUAAUAAAAAAACUAUUUCUGUCCCCUGUAA